rnacentral:rRNA from 1 species
ACACAUGCAAGUCGAACGGAAAGGCCCUGCUUUUGUGGGGUGCUCGAGUAGCGAACGGGUGAGUAACACGUGAGUAACCUGCCCUUGACUUUGGGAUAACUUCAGGAAACUGGGGCUAAUACCGGAUAGGAGCUCCUGCUGCAUGGUGGGGGUUGGAAAGUUUCGGCGGUUGGGGAUGGACUCGCGGCUUAUCAGCUUGUUGGUGGGGUAGUGGCUUACCAAGGCUUUGACGGGUAGCCGGCCUGAGAGGGUGACCGGCCACAUUGGGACUGAGAUACGGCCCAGACUCCUACGGGAGGCAGCAGUGGGGAAUAUUGCACAAUGGGCGGAAGCCUGAUGCAGCAACGCCGCGUGCGGGAUGACGGCCUUCGGGUUGUAAACCGCUUUCGCCUGUGACGAAGCGUGAGUGACGGUAAUGGGUAAAGAAGCACCGGCUAACUACGUGCCAGCAGCCGCGGUGAUACGUAGGGUGCGAGCGUUGUCCGGAUUUAUUGGGCGUAAAGGGCUCGUAGGUGGUUGAUCGCGUCGGAAGUGUAAUCUUGGGGCUUAACCCUGAGCGUGCUUUCGAUACGGGUUGACUUGAGGAAGGUAGGGGAGAAUGGAAUUCCUGGUGGAGCGGUGGAAUGCGCAGAUAUCAGGAGGAACACCAGUGGCGAAGGCGGUUCUCUGGGCCUUUCCUGACGCUGAGGAGCGAAAGCGUGGGGAGCGAACAGGCUUAGAUACCCUGGUAGUCCACGCUGUAAACGGUGGGUACUAGGUGUGGGGUCCAUUCCACGGGUUCCGUGCCGUAGCUAACGCUUUAAGUACCCCGCCUGGGGAGUACGGCCGCAAGGCUAAAACUCAAAGGAAUUGACGGGGCCCCGCACAAGCGGCGGAGCAUGCGGAUUAAUUCGAUGCAACGCGUAGAACCUUACCUGGGUUUGACAUGGAUCGGGAGUGCUCAGAGAUGGGUGUGCCUCUUUUGGGGUCGGUUCACAGGUGGUGCAUGGCUGUCGUCAGCUCGUGUCGUGAGAUGUUGGGUUAAGUCCCGCAACGAGCGCAACCCUUGUUCACUGUUGCCAGCACGUUAUGGUGGGGACUCAGUGGAGACCGCCGGGGUCAACUCGGAGGAAGGUGGGGAUGACGUCAAGUCAUCAUGCCCCUUAUGUCCAGGGCUUCACGCAUGCUACAAUGGCUGGUACAGAGAGUGGCGAGCCUGUGAGGGUGAGCGAAUCUCGGAAAGCCGGUCUCAGUUCGGAUUGGGGUCUGCAACUCGACCUCAUGAAGUCGGAGUCGCUAGUAAUCGCAGAUCAGCAACGCUGCGGUGAAUACGUUCCCGGGGCUUGUACACACCGCCCGUCAAGUCAUGAAAGUUGGUAACACCCGAAGCCGGUGGCCUAACCGUUGUGGGGGAGCCGUCGAAGGUGGGACUGGUGAUU